UUGCAGGUUGCCUCUGGAAAAUCAGGACGCAGCUGGAGAGCCUGUUUGUAGCUAACUAUAGCUGUCUCUACGUUCCCACUGCAGAAAGGUUAUAUUUAACAAUACAAACAAAAAAAUAAUGCCAGAAAUUAAAUGCAAUACAUUAAUACUGCAUAGGCUUGAGAUCUGUAGAAUACCUAUCCUUGUAAGCUGAGGCCAAGUUGGCAUGGGCUUCAGCCAUGUUUGGUCUGAUCCUUGCAGCAUGGAUAUAAUCCUGAAUUGCUUCAUUGACUCUACCAAUCUCCUUGAAUGUAUUCCCUCUAUUAACUAGUGCAUCAGCUGCUGCAGGAUCUAUACGA
rnacentral:lncRNA from 1 species